CUUCUUGGAAAUGAUCUCUGAUGUAGCAGCCUCUGUAGACUGAAGUAUGCAUUGCCCCCUGCAGGUAAAGAAGUCUGUGGAGAAAGCUUCAUCUGGAAAGAGCUCUGCUUUCUCACUCAUCCUCCAUGUUCUACAGCCUUGUUUUAAAUGAUUCCUUCCACCCCUACCAUGGAUUUAACCACCAUUCUGUCAUUACAACAUCUUCAUAUCAAGGAUGCAGUUCGCUUCCAUUGCCUGUGUACCCAGUCCUGGCUACAAGCUGUGUUCCUGUACUCAACCUCAUACAAAUUCAAACCAUGGGCAAUGUGAUUGAGAGGUGUCCAUGUCCGUUCUACAAGAGUCUCAGAAGAAAGAUAAUUUGUAGAGAGGCAGGACGUGUAAACAGCUCCACACAAGUAGCUAAUCGCCUUUCCAUGUUCUAAAAGGAGCUGGAUGCUAUAGAAACCUAACAAUUGGGUUACCAGCCUCAGGUCUGUCUGUUGGAGACCAGCUCAAAGUCCAGCCGAGGACUAAGGUGAAGUGAAACUGUUGUGGGGAGCCAGGCUAAACCACUGUCUCCUAUAUAGCUGACUAGCAAGGAGGCAUGCUUCCCCAUCCAGUCCCUCCUCCUGACAGUCCAUGAACUAGCUCAGAAGGUGAACACUUCCAGGUGUGGGUCAGUUCUUUUCUUUGAAUGCCAAGGAAAGAAAACUCCAGGGACUGCAGCCACCUUCCUUAUCCAACUCCUUAUUUCUGACAUUAAAAAAAUCAGCCUCUGCCUUUCACAUCCACACAGAGAAGGGUGGGGCCUGACUAAUGAAUGUUUGAGAAGUCCUUUGAGAUCUUAGAUGAAAG
rnacentral:lncRNA from 1 species